UACGUAGGGUGCAAGCGUUGUCCGGAAUUAUUGGGCGUAAAGAGCUCGUAGGUGGCUUGUCACGUCGGGUGUGAAAGCUUGGGGCUUAACUCCAGGUCUGCAUUCGAUACGGGCGGGCUAGAGUUCGGUAGGGGAGACUGGAAUUCCUGGUGUAGCGGUGAAAUGCGCAGAUAUCAGGAGGAACACCGAUGGCGAAGGCGGGUCUCUGGGCCGAUACUGACGCUGAGGAGCGAAAGCGUGGGGAGCGAACAGG
rnacentral:rRNA from 1 species